rnacentral:lncRNA from 1 species
UUUAAAAGAUAAUUUCAAAGGUAAUUGCUAACGAGCUCAAACCUUGGUUACGAGCCUCGAUUGCCAUGGAACAGAGUCCACUUCUCCUAAGGAGGCAAAUUGAGGAUUGUAUAGGAAGUGUUGCAUCAACUCGGAGUUUGAAAAAGGAGGAAAAAGUUUUGGGCAGUUUCACAUAUAACGGAGUGGAGUGAAACUUCUUGGAAGUAUGUACACUCAAAAUGAGUUGACGGAAUAAUGCAAUGAGCCAAUCUAACUUCCUUCCGUGUGGG